CCUACGGGAGGCAGCAGUGAGGAAUAUUGGUCAAUGGGCGGAAGCCUGAACCAGCCAAGUAGCGUGCGGGAUGAAGGCCCUACGGGUCGUAAACCGCUUUUGCCCGGGGAUAACACCCUCCACUUGUGGAGGUCUGCAGGUACCCUGCGAAAAAGGGCCGGCUAAUUCCGUUCCAGUAGCCGCGGUAAUAAGGAGGGCGCGAGCGUUUUCCGGAUUCAUUGGGGUUAAAGGGGGCGUAGGCGGGCGUUCAAGUCAGCGGUAAAAUGGCGGGGCUCAACCGCGCCCCGCAGUUGAAACUGGGGGCCUUGAGUGGGCAAGAGGCAGGCGGAAUUCGUGGUGUAGCGGUGAAAUGCAUAGAUAUCACGAGGAACCCCGAUUGCGAAGGCAGCCUGCCGGGGUGCGACUGACGCUGAGGCACGAAGGUGGGGGUAUCAAACAGGAUUAGAUACCCCUGUAGUC
rnacentral:rRNA from 1 species